GAUCUCCCAAGAUAUUUCACCAAACCUCCUUUGAAGCUUUGAGGAGUGCUAUGCUAGAAUGGUGGCUGUCAUCUCCAUGAUUUCUGCAUGUUUGCCAAUAUAGAAUCAAAUCAAGCCUGAAUCUAAUGAAUUUUGCAAUAUGCAGGCACUCAUUGUACUUAUCCUAAAUGAAAUUUCUAUUGCAAUUGUGCACCUCGUUCUGUAUGAGGAAAUUAGAGUACCUGGAAAUAUUCUUUGAUUUCUUUUGCAUGGAUUUGGCUCAAUUUUAUUCUUUUGAACAGAGAAUUGACUUAUAGUGAGCUACAUCUGAUUAGUUUCUAGAUCUUGCAUUACUGGUAGGCUGGAGACUUUUGUGCAGUCUGAUUUACAUUUUGGUGGUAGUCUAGAACAUAUGUUUGACCAACUUCGUAUUUGGCUUGUAGUCUGAUCUCAGGCUUUGGAUUUCUUAAGGUUUCUCUGGCCUCUGAAAGGAGGCGAUGUUAAAGGACCUGGUGAACUCUAUUCUAGCUUCUAUUGUUAGUCUGACCAUGCAUAGCGGGAUAAAGUCUUAUGUUGUUUCUGUUAAGGUGUUGCAUGUAAGUAAGCCACUUGUUUUUUGAUUGUCAUUGAACAAUUGCAUACUGCCUGUUCUUUUUCAACUGUCUUCAUAAAGAGACUAUUUUUGGAAUCAUUCUUUGGAUGACAGAAAUUUCUUGAUUUAUAUUCAAUUGUAUUCUUUACAUGUUUCUGCUCUUUGUAAUCAUCAAAAUCUGCCAUUUUUGACAUUCUUCCAGGAUUUGAUUUCAAAUUUAUGCAUGACUGGUACUAUUCUUCUGUCCGUAUGAAUUGCAUUAAGCUGGUGUUUAAUGUUAUAUCUAUGGAUGAAGCCUUUCUUAUGGGACAAAAUGGAGUCUUUGUAUCUCUAAUGUUAGUUAAGACUGGCCUUGAUUGUUCCUAUCAUGAUCAUUGGCCUUGAUAGUGCUAAAAUUUUGUUGAAUGAUUUUUGUUAAAACGUCUAUAAAAACCUAUAUGGUUAUUGAUUAUAACAACAUUGUUGUUGGGCAUGUUGCCAAUGUUUUGUUUUAUUUUAUUUUAUUUUGAUAAUCAUUUUAUUUUAUUUUUGUUUCAUAUACAGUGUAUUAUAUAUCUAGCAUGUGA